UCAGAAGUCCUUACUGGCAGGAUUACAGUUUAGGAAAGUGAUCUCUGGAAAAUGGAAGCAAAAAUAAUUGAAUACCACAGUCUCCAAAGAAGAUGGACAGGCAUUGAAGGAGUUUGGAAAGAGUGACUCUACCAAGAGGAAAGUGGAAACCAUCUAUGAGGGAAUGGCUAGUUUGUGCUUUCCCAACUGCCUCAACCCCACCCACCAUUGGAUGCAUCCAUGCUCUUCAUUUCCCGAUCAGCCUCACCUGCUCAUCAGUGGGCUGCAAGACUGGCCGCAGAUGUGGGAUUUCCAUGAAGGCCGCAUUACCGGGGAAGCCUGAGGCAGGUUGAUCACACAGAAAGAAUCCUUGCUUCAUUGGUUCACUGGAGCACAUAACAAUGGCUACAAAUACAGCUAAACUUUCAUUCAGCAUCCCUAGAUUGUGUGUGUGUGUGUGUGUGUGCGCGCGCGUGUGAUUGGUCAUGCUGGAGAAGUUUUCAGAUUAUAAUAUUUUUCUACAAAUCUUCAGCCCUGAAUAAUGUGGGUUGGCAUAAUUUUUAAAAAAAGUCAAUGUAAGGGGAUAUAUUAAAAUAGAAAUCACUUAGAAGUGAGUGUCUGUCUUUAUUUUUCUAGGAUCCUGCACUUUAACCCCUUUCUUUCUGCCUCUCUUAUCUUUAUGGCUGAUGAAUUUCUAUAGGGAUUCCACCUAGGGAAGAUGCCUCACUCUUAUAUUAUCAAGUAUGUUCCUUCAGAAUAGUAGUAGUUGUGUUGUGGUCAAAAUCUAUAUUGAUUCAUUGAUCGAAUUUUUUGAUUGAAAAGCUUGGAACUGAGGGUUGGGAGAAUUGAAUUCCAAUCAAUAACAAUAAAAAAAAUGUUGAUUGAACA
rnacentral:lncRNA from 1 species